CGCGGCCUAUCAGCUUGUUGGUGAGGUAACGGCUCACCAAGGCAUCGACGGGUAGCUGGUCUGAGAGGACGAUCAGCCACACUGGGACUGAGACACGGCCCAGACUCCUACGGGAGGCAGCAGUAGGGAAUCUUGCGCAAUGGGCGAAAGCCUGACGCAGCAACGCCGCGUGGGGGAUGAAUGCCUUCGGGUUGUAAACCCCUUUCAGCAGGGACGAAAAUGACGGUACCUGCAGAAGAAGCUCCGGCCAACUACGUGCCAGCAGCCGCGGUAAUACGUAGGGAGCGAGCGUUGUCCGGAAUUAUUGGGCGUAAAGAGCUCGUAGGCGGUUCGGUAAGUCGGGUGUGAAAACUCAAGGCUCAACCUUGAGACGCCACUCGAUACUGCUGUGACUUGAGUCCGGUAGAGGAGUGUGGACUUCCUGGUGUAGCGGUGAAAUGCGCAGAUAUCAGGAGGAACACCAGCGGCGAAGGCGGCACUCUGGGCCGGUACUGACGCUGAGGAGCGAAAGCAUGGGGAGCAAACAGGAUUAGAUACCCUGGUAGUCCAUGCCGUAAACGUUGGGCACUAGGUAUGGGAUCAUAUCAACGGAUUCCGUGCCGUAGCUAACGCAUUAAGUGCCCCGCCUGGGGAGUACGG
rnacentral:rRNA from 1 species